UACGGAGGAUGCAAGCGUUAUCCGGAAUGAUUGGGCGUAAAGCGUCCGCAGGUGGCUAUGUAAGUCUGCUGUUAAAGAGUGAGGCUCAACCUCAUAAAAGCAGUGGAAACUACAUGGCUAGAGUGCGUUCGGGGCAGAGGGAAUUCCUGGUGUAGCGGUGAAAUGCGUAGAUAUCUGGAGGAAUACCGGUGGCGAAGGCGGCAUCCUGGACCGACAUUGACGCUGAUGAGCGAAAGCUAGGGGAGCAAACGGG
rnacentral:rRNA from 1 species